AGAGAAUAGAAAAAAACGAAGAGCCCAGAAAAUAGACUUUACUUUUCUAUUGGAGGGAAAAUGGAGACAAACAAAUUUACAACGUUUUCUCUUUUUCUGGGUUUGGUGAGAGAGAAUUUGUAAAAGCCCUGGAAUGUUAAGUCAUGAGAAAAGGCCUAAGGUCUUUUAUCGAUAGACAACAAACGACCCAAAGAGAGAGAGAGUAAAGAAAAGAGAUGAUGAUGAUAAGGAAGAAAAUAGAUUCUCCGCAUGGUUUUUGGCUUUAAAGAUUAACCCGGUUAACCUUAGACUGACCAUCACCACCAUCAUCAUUAUUUUCCAUUGAUUAUGACCAUUGAUAUGGAUCUUUUUUCGUUUUCUCUCUCUCUCUCUCUUCUCGUCAUGUAAUCUAUGUAGAUGUUUGACCGGUGGACUUGUUCAUCUUUUCAUUGUACAGGUGAAUUAAAGGGUGAAGGUUGUGGAGAGAAAAUUUUUGGCCAUCAUGGAGAAAUUAAGGCGAACAUAAUUUGUUCUAUUCUAUUCCAUAAUUUUUGUCUUCCAUCAUAAUCUUCAUCCAUGUAAUUUCUUUGUUUUCCUUUUUCUCUUCUGGUCUUCCAAGGAGAAGAUCUAGAUCUUUCUAUAUUCUAUCUUCUGGUUUUCUUGACACUUUCUCUUUCUUUCGUUUCCUUUGUCUGUUUUCUCUCUCAUUUGUAAUUAGAUGAUGUGCUUUUGUUCUAAGACUUGGAUCAUCUUUCAUCUUCUACUACCACAGGACAUUGAGAAUACAAAUUCUCGGUCACGGCCAUUGGUCGAAUUAUAACUGUGUGGACUCUUCAAACAAUUGGAAUAGCAACUAAAUCUACUUGAGUUUAUUUCUUCGUCUUGGAGCCAAAAUAAAACUUAAUAGAAAAGAAGGAGAACAAAACGAACAACUUUAUAGAGGAAAACAAGGAAACAUGAAGGAUUUUAAAUUGAUGGAUACCGUUGAGUGAUCAAUAAGAGAAGAGAAGAGAACAAGAAAAAAAAAUUCUAUCAUAAGUUGAAGGUGUUAAGGAUCCUCUUCACAAGGAUCAACAUGAGUUUUUGUAUUUUUUUUCUCUCUUUGUAUUGGAUACAUGAUGGAAUCACUCAUCACCAACCGUUGUGUUUGUCAAUCAAACCAAUUAUUCAACAUGUAAGGAUUCUCAUCUUGAAACCGAUCAAAAUUGAUCAAUCCAAGGGUUUGACUCAAAUUAGAAGGAGAUUACCGAGUAGACUAAUUUUAUCUUCGCAAGAACCAGAGAUUUGAGUCUCUACCCUUGGAUUAACCUUUCAAGAAAUGAGAUCAAUCUCCACUUGAAAAGGAUACAACAAAAAAAGGGAAAAUAACAGUACAUUUAGCUAAUUUGUUCCAUGUUAACAGAAAUACGAAUCAAUAUUAGUAUUUCAUAUAAUAAGUUCGAAUGUUGAUAUGUAAACAUUUCUUCCAUUUUAACGAUAAAUACAUGGAAAUUGAAACAUAACAAACUUAUUAGAUAUUUCCCAUGGUAGAGUUGAUUUCAUGUAAUAGAAGAGAAAAACAAAACAAAAAACAGAAAACAAGAUUAGAUUCGAUUAACAAAAGUAACUAUUUUUUUCUAUUCUUUUUUUUUGUUUAAAAAAGAAAAGAAUGAAAAUAUUCUGUUCUCAUUAACUAUUCGAAUGAAUUGAAACAAAUAUACACACAGAGAUGAUGAUAGAGAUG